ACACACUGAGAUUUGUGCGCACUUUUUAUGCGCACAUAUCUAAUUAGCAUACUUAAUCUGAAUCUAUUACAAGCUUAAAGCAACUAGGGGAUAGAACUCGUUAGUCCUUCGAUUUGGUUCCAAAUUAUUCAUAAAAAAACUUUAGAAAUACAAGGACAAGAAAAAUACCCGCUUAUUCUUAUUACAAAAUAUUUAUACCAAAUGGUGAAAACUUUAUAUUAAAAUUAUAAGAAAACUGGAACAAUUUGCACUGAAAAACAUAUAAUGCAGUGAAGUUUUUACUCAAGUUUCUAUAAUAGCAUAUACACGUAACAAAAAUAUAAAAGAUUAACUUGCGAAAUCAGGGUAACAGUUGAAAGACUUUUUAAAAGGGACCCAUGCUAAAACGGUUUUAAGUCCCGAUACACUGGUAGUAAUGCUAUGAAUUAUAGGCAACAAACUUGUGAAUAUGAACGAUGUUAAGUCAUGAAAUUUAUUACGAAUGUUAAUUGGUUGAAGGAAUCGCAUUUCACUAUAAUGACAAGAGCUUUUGAGAUCAAGAUAUUAAUCUGUUAAAUUAUUCAUCUCAUGAAUAUUCAUUAGUAAUUUGCAUAUUAAUCUCAGUGUGUAUUUUUGAAAUCUCAGUGUGUAAUUAACAAUUCUCAGUGUGUGUUUUUCAGUUUAUUUAUUCUCAGUGUGUCUUUUUGAAAUCUCAGUGUGUUAUUUUCAAUUCUCAGUGUGUAAUUUUCAAUUCUCAGUGUGUAAUUUUCAAUUCUCAGUG
rnacentral:lncRNA from 1 species